AAAGCAGGUCAUAGUGAUCCGGUGGUUCUGAAUGGAAGGGCCAUCGCUCAACGGAUAAAAGGUACUCCGGGGAUAACAGGCUGAUACCGCCCAAGAGUUCAUAUCGACGGCGGUGUUUGGCACCUCGAUGUCGGCUCAUCACAUCCUGGGGCUGAAGUAGGUCCCAAGGGUAUGGCUGUUCGCCAUUUAAAGUGGUACGCGAGCUGGGUUUAGAACGUCGUGAGACAGUUCGGUCCCUAUCUGCCGUGGGCGCUGGAGAACUGAGGGGGGCUGCUCCUAGUACGAGAGGACCGGAGUGGACGCAUCACUGGUGUUCGGGUUGUCAUGCCAAUGGCACUGCCCGGUAGCUAAAUGCGGAAGAGAUAAGUGCUGAAAGCAUCUAAGCACGAAACUUGCCCCGAGAUGAGUUCUCCCUGACCCUUUAAGGGUCCUGAAGGAACGUUGAAGACGACGACGUUGAUAGGCCGGGUGUGUAAGCGCAGCGAUGCGUUGAGCUAACCGGUACUAAUGAACCGUGAGGCUUAACCUUACAACGCCGAAGGUGUUU
rnacentral:rRNA from 1 species